rnacentral:lncRNA from 1 species
GCCCCUUCCACCACAUGAGGAUACAGGGAGAUGUCCUCGACUCUGAAGAGGGCCCUCAUCCAACCAUGUGGGCACCCUGAUCUUGGACUUUCAGCCUCCAGAACUGUGAGAAAUACAUUUCUGUUGUUUCUAAGCUCCUCAGUCUCUGUUAUUUUGUUGUAGGCAGUCCCAAUGGACUAGGACACUGUGCUUCUCAGAUCCCAAUGGGCUUGUGCGUAGAGGCAGAUGGGGUGGGGGGAGGAAGCAAGAAUGGAGAUGGAAGGAUAGAGGGACAGAGGAAGAAGAAAAGAAAGAGAAAAAACAGCAGAUGACGUAGUUUUAAAUUCUCAUUGCUGCCAAACAAGAACGUGAGUCACACUCCUACCUGGAGCUGGGCCCUCAGGUUUCAUUUCUUAUCCUUUACGUCCCUCCAGAUAGUAAAACACCUGCAAAAUACCUUCCGGCCUUGUUCUUCAGUGUGACAAAAUGUCCUGCUUCUGGUCUGUGUGGCCCAGAGAGGACUGAGAUCAUAUCUCCUUUUCUGGGCUUAUUAGGGACUGCUCUUGGGAUCAACCCCUGUGGAGACGAAGGAAGGAUGGGCAAGGUGAGAAGGCCUCAGGUUGAGAUGAUGACAUUACAAGAUGAAAAUAGCAUGGAUCACUGGAAGCAAGCUGCCUUGGGGAGCCACUUGACCUGCAGUGGACGUUGCAUGAGAAAGAAAUGUACUUUUAAGUGAUCGGCCACUGACGUUCAGAUGAAGAGGAUAAAUGGGUCCAGAAAUAGGAAUUGUAUGAUGCUGGUGUAUGAUCUAUUGAUGCUGGACGUGGAGGAGAACCAAGAGUCAAGACAUGGAUUGAAAACGAAAAGAUGAAAAAGCUCACAAGAAGACAACAGGGGCCAGCUCCAAGGCUCAGUGUGUCUAGAGAAGAGGUUUCCUCAACUCUCCCCCUCAAAAAAAAGAAGAAAGGAUAGUUUGGAUUUGGAAGAAAAGAGAACAGCAAAAAUUUGCUUCCACCUCCUAUUAUUUCCAUCUAAUGGCCCAAUACAAAUGCUUCUCUCAGGUCAAGAAGUUUUUUUUUCCUGUAGUUCUUUUUCAUUUUUAUUAUUUCUUUCUUUCUUAAUUUUUUAAUUUAGGUCAUACUGGCUUUUAACAUGGUGUAAAUUUCAGGUGUAUAUUAUUCUAUUUCAGUUUCUGUAUAGAUUUCACCACGUUCACCACCAAUAGUCUAGUUUUAUCCGUCACCAUACACUUGUGCCCUUUUACUGCUUUUGCCCUCUCGCAAUCCUCUUUUCCUCUGGUGACCACUAAUCUGUUCUCCUUAUCUGUGUGUUUGUUUAUCUUCCACAUAUGAGUGAGAUCAUUUGCCUUUCUCUGUCUGACUUAUUUUGUUUAGCAUAAUACCCUCAAGAUCCAUC